rnacentral:tRNA from 1 species
GCGGGUGUGGCGGAAUGGUAGACGCACCGGACUUAAAAUCCGUUGGGGCUUUGCCCUGUGGGGGUUCGACUCCCCCGACCCGCACCA